UACGUAGGGAGCAAGCGUUGUCCGGAAUCAUUGGGCGUAAAGCGCGCGUAGGUGGCCUCAUAAGUCCGCUGUGAAAGUCAAAGGCUCAACCUUUGAAAGCCGGUGGAUACUGUGGGGGCCUAGAGUACGGAAGAGGCGAGUGGAAUUCCUGGUGUAGCGGUGGAAUGCGCAGAUAUCAGGAGGAACACCAAUAGCGAAGGCAGCUCGCUGGGACGUUACUGACACUGAGGCGCGAAAGCGUGGGGAGCGAACAGG
rnacentral:rRNA from 1 species